GAGUUUGAUCGUGGCUCAGAUUGAACGCUGGCGGCAUGCCUUACACAUGCAAGUCGAACGGCAGCACGGGAGCUUGCUCCUGGUGGCGAGUGGCGAACGGGUGAGUAAUGCAUCGGAACGUAUCCUGGAGUGGGGGAUAACGUAGCGAAAGUUACGCUAAUACCGCAUAUUCUGUGAGCAGGAAAGCGGGGGACCUUCGGGCCUCGCGCUCUUGGAGCGGCCGAUGUCGGAUUAGCUAGUUGGUGAGGUAAAGGCUCACCAAGGCGACGAUCCGUAGCAGGUCUGAGAGGAUGAUCUGCCACACUGGAACUGAGACACGGUCCAGACUCCUACGGGAGGCAGGCAGUGGGGAAUUUUGGACAAUGGGGGCAACCCUGAUCCAGCCAUGCCGCGUGAGUGAAGAAGGCC
rnacentral:rRNA from 1 species